rnacentral:rRNA from 1 species
UACGUAGGGUGCAAGCGUUGUCCGGAAUUAUUGGGCGUAAAGAGCUCGUAGGCGGUUUGUUGCGUCGGCUGUGAAAUCCCGAGGCUCAACCUCGGGUCUGCAGUCGAUACGAGCAAACUAGAGUGUUGCAGGGGAGACUGGAAUUCCUGGUGUAGCGGUGAAAUGCGCAGAUAUCAGGAGGAACACCGGUGGCGAAGGCGGGUCUCUGGGCAACAACUGACGCUGGAGGAGCGAAAAGCGUGGGGAGCGAACAGG